rnacentral:lncRNA from 1 species
UCGGGGAGGAGAAGGGAAGAAGACGAGAAGAAGAAGAAGAGGGAGAAGAGAAGAAAAGAAGAAGAAGAAGGAGAAGAGAGGGAUGAUGGAGAUGAGAGAGAGGUAGCUGCAGCACCUCUGUUUCCUGCAGGAGGAAACAAAGGAGAGGAGACGCUGUGCAUCGGGGAGGAGAAGGGAAGAAGAAGAGAAGCAGGGACGACGAGGA